UACACACCGCCCGUCACACCAUGGAAGCAAGCAACACCCGAAGCCGGUGGCCUAACCCGCAAGGGAGGGAGCUGUCGAAGGUGGGGCUCGUGACUGGGGUG
rnacentral:rRNA from 1 species